UACGUAGGGGGCUAGCGUUGUUCGGAUUCAUUGGGCGUAAAGGGUGCGUAGGCGGCGCGGUAAGUCGGAUGUGAAAUCUCGGAGCUUAACUUCGAAACUGCAUUCGAUACUGCCGUGCUUGAGGACUGGAGAGGAGACUGGAAUUUACGGUGUAGCGGUGAAAUGCGUAGAUAUCGUAAGGAAAACCAGUGGCGAAGGCGGGUCUCUGGACAGUUCCUGACGCUGAGGCACGAAGGUCAGGGGAGCAAACGGG
rnacentral:rRNA from 1 species